rnacentral:rRNA from 1 species
UCGUAGUUGGAUCUCAGUUCCAGAAGGACGGUUCGCCUCUGGCGACUUACUGUCCUUCUGAACAGGUCGUCAGCUCACUCGGGGUGCUCUUUACCGAGUGUCCUGCGUGGCUGGCAUGUUUACUUUGAAAAAAUUAGAGUGCUCAAAGCAGGCUAUUGCCUGAAUAGUUGUGCAUGGAAUAAUGGAAUAGGACCUCGGUUCUAUUUUGUUGGUUUUCGGAACCCGAGGUAAUGAUUAAUAGAGACGGACGGGGGCAUUCGUAUUGCGACGCUAGAGGUGAAAUUCUUGGACCGUCGCAAGACGAACUACUGCGAAAGCUUUUGCCAAGUACGUUCUCAUUAAUCAAGAACGAAAGUUAGAGGAUCGAAGGCGAUCAGAUACCGCCCUAGUUCUAACCAUAAACUAUGCUGACUAGCGAUCCGUCUGUGUUAAUCCCAUGACUAGACGGGCAGCUUCCGGGAAACCAAAGUCUUUGAGUUCCGGGGGAAGUAUGGUUGCAAAGCUGAAACUUAAAGGAAUUGACGGAAGGGCACCACCAGGAGUGGAGCCUGCGGCUUAAUUUGACUCAACACGGGGAACCUCACCAGGCCCGGACACCGGAAGGAUUGACAGAUUGAGAGCUCUUUCUUGAUUCGGUGGGUGGUGGUGCAUGGCCGUUCUUAGUUGGUGGAGCGAUUUGUCUGGUUAAUUCCGAUAACGAACGAGACUCUAGCCUGCUAACUAGUCGUGGUGUCAAUAUACUUGCACUACGCAGCUUCUUAGAGGGAUAAGCGGCAUUUAGCCGC